GAUGAACGCUGGCGGCGUGCCUAAUACAUGCAAGUCGAGCGAACGGACGAGAAGCUUGCUUCUCUGAUGUUAGCGGCGGACGGGUGGGUAACACGUGGAUAACCUACCUAUAAGACUGGGAUAACUUCGGGAAACCGGAGCUAAUACCGGAUAAUAUUUUGAACCGCAUGGUUCAAAAGUGAAAGACGGUCUUGCUGUCACUUAUAGAUGGAUCCGCGCUGCAUUAGCUAGUUGGUAAGGUAACGGCUUACCAAGGCAACGAUGCAUAGCCGACCUGAGAGGGUGAUCGGCCACACUGGAACUGAGACACGGUCCAGACUCCUACGGGAGGCAGCAGUAGGGAAUCUUCCGCAAUGGGCGGAAGCCUGACGGAGCAACGCCGCGUGAGUGAUGAAGGUCUUCGGAUCGUAAAACUCUGUUAUUAGGGAAGAACAUAUGUGUAAGUAACUGUGCACAUCUUGACGGUACCUAAUCAGAAAGCCACGGCUAACUACGUG
rnacentral:rRNA from 1 species